rnacentral:rRNA from 1 species
GACGAACGCUGGCGGCGUGCCUAAUACAUGCAAGUAGAACGCUGAAGAGAGGAGCUUGCUCUUCUUGGAUGAGUUGCGAACGGGUGAGUAACGCGUAGGUAACCUGCCUUGUAGCGGGGGAUAACUAUUGGAAACGAUAGCUAAUACCGCAUAACAAUGGAUGACACAUGUCAUUUAUUUGAAAGGGGCAAUUGCUCCACUACAAGAUGGACCUGCGUUGUAUUAGCUAGUAGGUGAGGUAAUGGCUCACCUAGGCGACGAUACAUAACCGACCUGAGAGGGUGAUCGGCCACACUGGGACUGAGACACGGCCCAGACUCCUACGGGAGGCAGCAGUAGGGAAUCUUCGGCAAUGGGGGCAACCCUGACCGAGCAACGCCGCGUGAGUGAAGAAGGUUUUCGGAUCGUAAAGCUCUGUUGUAAGUCAAGAACGGGUGUGAGAGUGGAAAGUUCACACUGUGACGGUAGCUUACCAGAAAGGGACGGCUAACUACGUG